rnacentral:rRNA from 2 species
GACGAACCGAGCGAACGUUAUUCGGAAUCACUGGGCUUAAAGGGCGCGUAGGCGGACUGCCAAGUCAGGGGUGAAAGCCCGCGGCUCAACCGCGGAAGUGCCUUUGAUACUGGCGGUCUCGAGGGAGGUAGGGGCGUGCGGAACUUCCGGUGGAGCGGUGAAAUGCGUAGAUAUCGGAAGGAACACCGGUGGCGAAAGCGGCGCGCUGGACCUCUUCUGACGCUGAGGCGCGAAAGCCAGGGGAGCGAACGGG